AUUGAACGCUGGCGGCAGGCCUAACACAUGCAAGUCGAACGAGUGGCGGACGGGGGAGUAAUGUCUGGGAAACAGCCUGAUGGAGGGGGAUAAAUACUGGAAACGGUAGCUAAUACCGCAUAACAUCAGAUGGGCACAGAUGGUUUUAGAUUGUUGGUGGGGUAACGGCUCACCAAGGCGACGAUCCCUAGCUGGUCUGAGAGGAUGACCAGCCACACUGGAACUGAGACACGGUCCAGACUCCUACGGGAGGCAGCAGUGGGGAAUAUUGCACAAUGGGCGCAAGCCUGAUGCAGCCAUGCCGCGUGUAUGAAGAAGGCCUUCGGGUUGUAAAGUACUUUCAUCGGGGAGGCGUUACCCGCAGAAGAAGCACCGGCUAACUCCGUGCCAGCAGCCGCGGUAAUUC
rnacentral:rRNA from 1 species